UAUCAAAUGACACAUUGACAGGUCGAAGAAACUACAAAACACCAAUAAACCUGCUUUGAUUAAACAAAUCAAGAAGUUAAACAGUAAAAGUGGAGAAGCCAUAGCAUGAAAUUUAUAGUGUUUAAAAGAUUGGAUCUUGUAUUUAGCUGUUUUAUCUUCUCCUUUGGUCUGUGUAUAGUUGAAGUUGGCUAAUCAAGCUAAAUAAAGCUGAAAACGUCGCCGUACACGUAACUAUCAGGCCGCAUAUGGUCUAUUUCACUCGUCGCGUGCACUAGCGCGCCUCCUUCCCCUCGGAGAGAAUCUACAGGAAGGCAGCGAGUCCAGGAAACAGCGUUUGAGACCCGGCCCUGUGACCGAGGUUUGGGGCGUCGACCAAACUUCACUUGGACCAAUCGCAGUUCGCGGCGAAACUUUGUAAACAACUCUCACGCGCUGUUUGACGCCUAGUCUUUUGUGUUUACUACGCGGAGAGGCCGCGGCGCUGCGGUCCGGCGGGAAGCGUCGCGACAGUCCUCCAUGAUUAUGAAAAUCAAACCCUUCUUAGGAGCGAUGCAGCAUCCAAAGGCCUGUCAUCCUGUGGUGGUAUUACACAAGAGCUCACACCAGGCUCCUCCGUGGGCAAGCUGGGAUCAGAUGACUACGAUGAGCAGCGUACGCAUGUGAGCAGUCAAAGCCUAUAUUGUACUGUGCCCACCUUUCCUUGGCAUGAAGUGGCCGUGCCAUUGCAAACAGUGGUGCGAAUGGGAGCCAACGGAAACAACACCAGUCAUCUCUCCUCUAUUCCCCACCCAGGCUGAUAAGAUUAACCACCGGCCUGUGGCUCCCAGCUGUUGAGCACCCAACCGGCUUCAGGCAUGUACGAAACACAGAAACACACCAACACACUCAGUAGAAAGCUGCACCUGAUUUAAACCCAUUUAAACAUGUCGAGGUCCCGGCAACCACACCCUGAAGAUUCAAAAUGGUCGACUUGCUCAGUCUUGGUUUCUUUUUUUUUUUUUCUCAUAACCAUCAAGAGCCGUAGUCUCAUAAAUUCCCUUUACACAUCCAUCAUGCAUAAAAAUUUCAAAUGAAUGAAAAUUAGGGUUUCUAGUUGAGUAAUUUCCUACAGCACCAAUCAUGUAGUAAAUUUCCCCACCUACUUUUUUAUGCUUAAGUUUCAUCGCUAGCAGGAGUUUUUAAUAGUCUGCAGACGAGCCCUUUAUAAAAUUGACGCUGAACUCAAAGGCUUGUGAACAGAACGCGUCUUUUUUAGUGGCGCCGUAGCGGAUGAGGAGGGUGUGCUCUUAAAUGUCCAGAAAGUGAAAACACAAUGUGCAAACUGACGGCAACCAGGACACGAAAGCAUGUACAGUAGCGUAAAGUCAGGUGAAAGAAACCAAAGCAGUGACGCGCUCCGUUUCCUAUAAAUAUGAAGCCGUGGGAAUGCUUCGGCGGUGGUGUUUUCCCUCGGUCCAACUCGCAGUUCACAUAGGUGUGAGUGUAAAGUUUCCACAUCUGAAGUAAAACCUUCUUCUCUGCCUCCGUGUUGUGUGUAUGAUCUGAUUUCUCUGACUUUCUGUGUUUUUUUUCCUGUUUGAUCAUUUUCACGCUUUAACACCCCCCCCCACCCCCGGUGUCGACCUCAUCCACUGGUCUGAGUGAACACAUCCUGGACGUUGCUCUGCUUAACUGGUGUGGUUAACUAGUUCACGGCUGCCACACACAAAAACACAAUGCGCCACUAAAACCUGAACAGUGACGUAAUUUUCAGUUUUAUAUGACACGACAUGCACGUUCUUUCCCUCAACAACCAGUAAUUGAUCGACACAAUCAACGCAUUCCCGCUCUCUAAACAGUGAGUCCAGAACGUGCUCCAUCCCUCGCCUGUGAUGUAAGUGUGACUGAUAGCGGAGCAGCUGUUUCCGGGGGGCCGCGCCGCUGUCUGCCGUUAGCGCUGCCGCUGGCCUGCUGCACCCGUCCCUGUCCAGCUGUCUGCCUCGCUCUGCUGCUCCCUGCUCUGCACGCCGCCACUCAUAGAGGGCGCUAGUCAGGCUGCAGCUGCACAGCUCAAGGGGGGGAAGCUGUCAGCAGAGCCUUUCACAUUCAAAACACAGCAUUUUGAAGUUCCCCUCAUUAUUCCCAGGCUGAUUUUAUGGAGAAAGAAAUCUUAAAAUGAAUGAUAAUGAAUGUGCAGAGAGUCUUCUGCAGUCAUUGUUGCCCGAUGGCUGCUGAGCAUCAUGGGAUGUGUCAACUGCUCCUGCCCCACCUGCAGCUUCCACCCUGAGUCAGAGCGAGAGCUCUCAGCUGUUCCCGGCGCCGCCGCCCGCCGCUUGUGACACCUCGCGCUUCACCUUUUGUUUCACAUCCACCCUGGCAAACGCAGAGAAACAUCCUGUUUGCAGCCCAGCGGAGGAUUUCACUGUGUGAACACAGCUCUGUUGGACACAGUUUGGCAGGCAGUUAGCGGCGCCGCAUACUUGUGCGAGUGUCUUCACUGUCCCACCCUUUUGAUUAUGAGUCACAGCAAUAGCAGUUAACCUAAGUCCAACGGUGACUAACAGUGUGUGUGUGUGUGUGUGUUUUGAAAUGGGUGUGCGACCUGCCUCCAGAUACUUUGCUAGUUAAUGUAUUGUUUCUGGAUCAGGGUUCACCAAAGGCGGCAGGUAGUGUUCCAACAUACUGGCUUCUAUCAAUGAGUGAUGCCGCCUUGCUCUCCUUCGUGUACAGUAAACUGCCCGUAAACGGCGGCGACACAGCUUUCAAAUAAUCUCUCCAUCAUUCCAGACGUGGCAAUUAUCAACCAAUCACAUGGGAGUCAGUCCCCCCCCCGUCAUGUGCGCUCAUUUUGCCCGACAACAGUUAAAGUUUAGUCAGAAGCCUCUGGGAGUGAAGGAGAGCUCUGGUUUGAAGGACCCGUUUCUACUGUAGUUGGAUAAAUAAAAAUACUUACUACGUGUCA
rnacentral:lncRNA from 1 species